AGUGAACGCUGGCGGCAGGCCUAACACAUGCAAGUCGAACGGCAGCACAGUAAGAGCUUGCUCUUACGGGUGGCGAGUGGCGGACGGGUGAGGAAUACAUCGGAAUCUACUUUUUCGUGGGGGAUAACGUAGGGAAACUUACGCUAACACCGCAUACGACCUACGGGUGAAAGCAGGGGAUCUUCGGACCUUGCGCGUUUGAAUGAGCCGAUGUCGGAUUAGCUAGUUGGCGGGGUAAAGGCCCACCAAGGCGACGAUCCGUAGCUGGUCUGAGAGGAUGAUCGGCCACACUGGAACUGAGACACGGUCCAGACUCCUACGGGAGGCAGCAGUGGGGAAUAUUGGACAAUGGGCGCAAGCCUGAUCCAGCCAUACCGCGUGAGUGAAGAAGGCCUUCGGGUUGUAAAGCCCUUUUGUUGGGAAAGAAAAGCAGCAGGUUAAUACCCCGCUGUUCUGACGGUACCCAAAGAAUAAGCACCGGCUAACUUCGUG
rnacentral:rRNA from 1 species